ACUACCUGUGACAGUUCCAGAUCUCCCUGUACUACCUGUGACAGUUCCAGAUCUCCCUGUACUACCUGUGACAGUUCCAGAUCCCCCUGUACCUGGACCCUCUGUAUCAGCCCGCCCACCUGUACGUGUACAAUCAGACCCCUUUGAUAGUGACAGUGACCCAGAUGACCCUGAGCCUUUCCAUGGUUUUGAUGCCUCGCCCUAUACAUCAGAUGUAGAUGUUCCCUCAUCAGUUGAUACGAGUAUCACCUCUCCAGAGCCCAAAUCAGUUGAUACGAGUAUCACCUCUCCCAUUCCUUCAGACUCCCAAGCACCUGCCCAUCCCACUCCAUAGCCCAGCCACCCACUCUCAUGUACCAUAUGGCCAUCCCAG